rnacentral:piRNA from 1 species
UCAUAGAUUGAGAGCCAUGGUUUG